UACGAAGGGGGCUAGCGUUGCUCGGAAUCACUGGGCGUAAAGCGCACGUAGGCGGUCUCUUAAGUCGGUGGUGAAAUCCUGGAGCUCAACUCCAGAACUGCCUUUGAUACUGAGGAUCUUGAGUUCGGGAGAGGUGAGUGGAACUGCGAGUGUAGAGGUGAAAUUCGUAGAUAUUCGCAAGAACACCAGUGGCGAAGGCGGCUCACUGGCCCGAUACUGACGCUGAGGCACGAAAGCGUGGGGAGCAAACAGG
rnacentral:rRNA from 1 species